CCAACUCCAUGUGACCUUUAGCAUUUUUGUGGCYGGUGUGAGCUGUUGCUGCCCUACUGGCUAAAUAUUUUAUCAGCAUGAAAAAUACAACCUUCAAAACUAUAUCAGUCAACAACUGGACUCCGAUGAUCCCAGGCAUAUCUCAAAGUCAUGGAAGACUCUACAGUGUCCAUCAAAGUCUUGUGACUCUUAUAAAACUUUCCAGUAGGAUUUGAAAGAAAUGCAGCCGAAGCACGCAACUCCAAGAAUAUUAGGUGAACUGACUCCAUGAGUCUGUGUCUGGCUCUGAAUCCCAUUGUCAGCAUCUUAUAAUAACACAACGGUGCUUUAACAUGCUUGUCAUGAAAGCCUUGAAUAAUUUUGAGACUACAGAAGCCACUGAAAGUGAUAAUCUGUGUGAAAUUUGGAAAACUCUGCUGAAUUUCAA